AACACUUUGCUACCAUGAAUCUCUCAAUAAUCAAAUCAUGUCUUAAAAUACAAAAUUAUCACAUCUAGAACUUAACACUAGUUUUCUAAAAAAUAAUGAGAAAAUGUCUUGAAUAAAAUCCAGUGGCAUAAAUUUAGCUCUCAUCGUUUUUUAGCCGGCAUCAACAAUUAAUCUCGUCAUCCAAAAUAACCUGCAUGAAUCUGCAUGAAUGCACAAUAAUAUACAUCAAUUAGUAGCAAGAAAUCAAGUUAUAAGUACAAUACUAUUAUUACUAUCAGUAAUAACAUCCACAAAUACAAAACAUAAAAUCUCUCAAAUAGUAUUUUUAACAUUCAUAAGAGCCAAAAACUCAGAAAAGCUUAAAAAAUAUAUAGACAUGCACUUCAAAGAGAAACAAAAAUUAACACAGAAGAAUAUGAACAAGGCAUGAAAGAAGAUUAAUAAAACUCUAAUCGAAUUUCUUGUCUCGUCACUAAUAGCAUAUUGCCCCUAAAGAACAUACAACACAUAGAUUUACAUUGCCAAAAACUAAAAUUGAAAAAAAAAUAACACCUGGAUUGUCUUCAUUGAAGGUUUUGUUCGUAUUUCUCGGAUAACUUGUUAUUCUCUUCAAGUUUCCAAUCCUUGAAGUUCUUUAUCAGGCCAUUCUUAACAUUCGCCAAUCUAUCAUCUUUCUCCCUUAACGAAUUUUCUAUGAUCAAAUAUUAAAAAGAAUAAAAAAAUACAUUCUAGAAAAUCGGGACAAUUAUAGAUGAAAGAAAUGAAGAACACUUCUUGCUUGAUAACACAUAAACCAAGAACUCUUACAAAACAAAUCAAUUUGAGGUUUACCCUUGCGACCUGCUAAAAAAAAUAGACAAAAGAAAAGGGAAGAUAACUCAACUCAAUAUUGCAAACAAGAUCAUUAAGGUGAUAAAAAAAAAAAAAGCAAAUAUAAAUACUUAAUUAUCUCUUGCAGUGUUUAUAGUCUUAGUGAAAAGCCUCAAAAUUGUGCUCUCGCAGAACAUAUAAUUCAUAGAACAUAGAGACAAACGAGCAAGUUUAACAAACUACUGAGUAACACUAAAUGAUCACGAACAUCUUUCAAGGCAUUGAGUACAACAGAUAAUUCAAUACCUGGAUUAUCUUGACUGUUCAGUUUUUGAUAUUUUUCAGAUAGAUUCUUAUUCUCUUCCGAAUAUACAAUAUAGAGUACGACUUUGUUAAAUCCACCAUCAGAAUUCGGAAAACCUUACACCAAGCUCCAACCCUUCAUGAAGUUCUCCCUAAAUCAAAUGUGAAGAAGCACACUUAAAAAAUAGGACAUUUACAGAGGAAGAAAAUAAGGAUACAGACUUUGUACUUCACAAUCCAGAACACCAACCCAAUAAAUCAAUUUGAGGUUUAGCUUGUC
rnacentral:lncRNA from 1 species